GAUAAGGAUGAUGAGGAAAAGCCAAAGA
rnacentral:piRNA from 1 species